rnacentral:rRNA from 1 species
GAUGAACGCUGGCGGCGUGCUUAACACAUGCAAGUCGAACGAUGAACCGGGUGCUUGCACUCGGGGAUUAGUGGCGAACGGGUGAGUAACACGUGAGCAACCUGCCCCUGACUCUGGGAUAAGCGCUGGAAACGGCGUCUAAUACUGGAUAUGUCUCGUCACCGCAUGGUGUGCGGGUGGAAAGAUUUUUCGGUUGGGGAUGGGCUCGCGGCCUAUCAGCUUGUUGGUGAGGUAAUGGCUCACCAAGGCGUCGACGGGGAGCCGGCGUGAGAGGGUGACCGGCCACACUGGACUGAGACACGGCCCAGACUCCUACGGGAGGCAGCAGUGGGGAAUAUUGCACAAUGGGCGGAAGCCUGAUGCAGCAACGCCGCGUGAGGGAUGACGGCCUUCGGGUUGUAAACCUCUUUUAGCAGGGAAGAAGCGAGAGUGACGGUACCUGCAGAAAAAGCACCGGCUAACUACGUGCCAGCCGCCGCAGUAACAC